UGCAAGUCGAACGGUAACAGGAARCAGCUUGCUGUUUCGCUGACGAGUGGCGGACGGGUGAGUAAUGUCUGGGAAACUGCCUGAUGGAGGGGGAUAACUACUGGAAACGGUAGCUAAUACCGCAUAACGUCGCAAGACCAAAGAGGGGGACCUUCGGGCCUCUUGCCAUCGGAUGUGCCCAGAUGGGAUUAGCUAGUAGGUGGGGUAACGGCUCACCUAGGCGACGAUCCCUAGCUGGUCUGAGAGGAUGACCAGCCACACUGGAACUGAGACACGGUCCAGACUCCUACGGGAGGCAGCAGUGGGGAAUAUUGCACAAUGGGCGCAAGCCUGAUGCAGCCAUGCCGCGUGUAUGAAGAAGGCCUUCGGGUUGUAAAGUACUUUCAGCGGGGAGGAAGGGAGUAAAGUUAAUACCUUUGCUCAUUGACGUUACCCGCAGAAGAAGCACCGGCUAACUCCGUGCCAGCAGCCGCGGUAAUACGGAGGGUGCAAGCGUUAAUCGGAAUUACUGGGCGUAAAGCGCACGCAGGCGGUUUGUUAAGUCAGAUGUGAAAUCCCCGGGCUCAACCUGGGAACUGCAUCUGAUACUGGCAAGCUUGAGUCUCGUAGAGGGGGGUAGAAUUCCAGGUGUAGCGGUGAAAUGCGUAGAGAUCUG
rnacentral:rRNA from 1 species